CAAUCAUGGGAAUCGGAGAAGUAACCAAGGGAAGAAGUGUGGCAAGAGGUCUCAUUGACUUCAGUGGGAGUUCCAGGUUUCCAUCCAAGGAAUCCCUCCUCUACUUCCUAUGGAGCUGAACUCACUAUGAGUACUGCAGAGGUGAAAAGAACAAGUCCUACUUCAAAAAACCAAC